rnacentral:rRNA from 1 species
AACGAACGCUGGCGGCAUGCCUAACACAUGCAAGUCGAACGGGAUCCUAGCUUGCUAGGUGAGAGUGGCGGACGGGUGAGUAACACGUGGGAAUCUGCCUUUUGGUUCGGGAUAACCGCGGGAAACUGCGGCUAAUACCGAAUGCCCUCGAGAGAGGAAAGAUUUAUCGCCAGAAGAGGAGCCCGCGUCCGAUUAGGUAGUUGGUGGGGUAAAGGCCUACCAAGCCGACGAUCGGUAGCUGGUCUGAGAGGAUGAUCAGCCACACUGGGACUGAGAUACGGCCCAGACUCCUACGGGAGGCAGCAGUGGGGAAUAUUGGACAAUGGGGGGCAACCCUGAUCCAGCAAUGCCGCGUGAGUGAUGAAGGCCGUUAGGUUGUAAAGCUCUUUGCCA